rnacentral:rRNA from 1 species
GACGAACGCUGGCGGCGUGCUUAACACAUGCAAGUCGAACGGAAAGGCCCUGCUUUUGUGGGGUGCUCGAGUGGCGAACGGGUGAGUAACACGUGAGUAACCUGCCCUUGACUUCGGGAUAACUUCAGGAAACUGGGGCUAAUACCGGAUAGGAGCUCCUGCUGCAUGGUGGGGGUUGGAAAGUUUCGGCGGUUGGGGAUGGACUCGCGGCUUAUCAGCUUGCUGGUGGGGUAGUGGCUUACCAAGGCUUUGACGGGUAGCCGGCCUGAGAGGGUGACCGGCCACAUUGGGACUGAGAUACGGCCCAGGCUGCUACGGGAGGCAGCAGGGGGGAAUAUUGCACAAGGGGCGGAGGCCUGAUGCAGCAACGCCGCGUGCGGGAUGACGGCCUUCGGGUUGUAAACCGCUUUCGCCUGUGACGAAGCGUGAGUGACGGUAAUGGGUAAAGAAGCACCGGCUAACUACGU